UUAAGCCAGUAAGAAAGAGAUGAUGAGUUUUAGCUGCAAGUUGAAGGUUGGCUAUAUGCUGCAGAUGCGACGACUUGUCGGCAAGAAGGUGUGGCUACGAAUUGUCGGCAACUUCCAGGAAGUCACGGUAAAGCGGUAAAAGAAAAUUUUCAUUCCCGCAAGUUUUAGCCUCCACAGAUUUUGCUGCCCUUAGUUGCCAAAGUUGAACCAUAUCCUUCCUUGUCUCAUCGCAGAAAGCAUCCCCCAUCACCAUUGCAGAACACUUUCAUCCUAAUUCCAAUCCCAAGCGAGAAAAAAAUGGCUGAUGCCGCUGUUAGUGCUACUAUUAAGGUCGCAUUGCAGGCGGUUGUUUCCCUUGCUGCUGAUCAUGUUAAUCUGGCUCGUGAAUUCCCAACGGAGCUGGAGAGACUCAACAAAUCUGCUGAAAUGAUCCGAGGCUUCUUGGCCGGUGCUGACGAGGUAAAACAUAGCCAUGAUCCGAGGCUUCUUGGGGUGCAAAAGUGGCUCGAGCAGCUGGAAGAAGAGGUUUUCAAAGCUGACAAUGUGCUGGACGAGCUCAACUAUGAAAAUCUUCGUCGGCAGGUGAAGUAUCAAGAUCAACCCAUGAAAAAGAAGGUACUCUUCUGCUUUUCAUUCUUUAAUAAAAUUGGUUUUCGUUGGAGGUUGGGCUCAAUGAUCAGGGGGGUCAACGCGAACCUUGAAAGGAUCCAUCGGGAUGCCGAACGUUUGAGACUGCCCUCCAAGCUCCAAGUUGAAGCCACAACAAACCGACAGACCGACGCUACUAUUGUUCGAAGAGAUGUCCUAGGAAGAGACGAGAAUGAAUCAGAAAUAGUUGAGAAGUUGUUGACCGAAUCUGAAAGUGAUCGUGUUUCAGUUAUUUCCAUAACUGGCAUGGGUGGUUUAGGCAAAACAACUCUAGCUAAAGCCGUUUUCAACACUCCACAAUUUGAUAAUGAUUUUGACAAAAAAUUUGGGUUUGUGUGGCUGAAGAAGUAGAUAGAAUCGAGAAGGUCUUCAAAAUGAUUCUUGAAUCGUUAACAGGAGGAAAGGUUGAAGGGGAUAAUAGGCAAGUAAUAGUUCAAAAAAUUCAAGAUGAACUCAAGGAGAAAAGAUAUUUGCUUGUCCUUGAUGAUUUGUGGAAUAAUAAUCAAGAUGGAUUGUUGGAUGACUUUUUCAACACUUUGGCGGGACUCAAUGCGAAGAAAGGGAGCUGGUGUCUUGUUACUUCUCGGCUGCAAGAAGUGGAAACUAUUCUGUCUAGACAUCCGCAGAUCAAUUUUACUCGCCAUGAGCUGGGAAGGCUAUGCGAUGAUGUUUGCUGGUCUAUCGUGAAAAAUUGGGCAAAUGUAGGGGAAGAAGUACCAAGAGGAUUGGAAGACAUAAGGGAGCAAGUUUUAGGAAGAUGUGACGGUCUACCUCUAGCAGCAAAGUUAAUCGGAGGUUUGUUAUAUAUAUAAAAAGACAAAAGAGAGUGGCUAUCUAUUUUGAAGGAGAGUCUCUUGAAGGGUGGGACUGAGCAAAUAAUUAAGGUGAGUUUUGAUCAUCUGUCACCUGCACCGGUUAAGAAAUGUUUUGCAUAUUGCUCAAUAUUUGAUCAAGAUACUGAAUUGGAACAAGAUCUACUAGUUGAGCUUUGGAUGGCUGAAGGCUUUCUUCAACCGGAUUCCCAAAAUGAAAGAAUGAUGGAGAAAAUAGGAUGUGAGUAUUUGAGAAUUUUGCUGCAAACUUCCUUAUUGGAAGAAGUAAGAGAUUGGGAGGGGAACCUGGUAUAAAAUGCAUGACCUUGUGCACGAUUUUGCAAAAUCAAUUUUGAAUCAUAACAGCAGCAAUCAGGAGCGUUACCUUGCGGCAUCUGAAAGAAUGUUAGAAAACAUGAACGAAAACAAAUCAGCAUCACUUCGCACAUUAUUUCUGGAGGGUGGCAUAGCUGAUGAAAAGUUAUCUAAGUUCAAAUACUUGCAUGUCCUAAAAUUGUUUGGAGCAGAUGUCAAAGAGUUGCCGACCUCCAUUGGCAAACUAAUACAUUUACACUUGACAUUUCAGGUUCUUGGAUUAGAACUUUGCCAGAAUCUCUUUGCAAACUUUAUAGCUUGCAAACACUAAGAAUUGACAGGCUUGAAGAUGGUUUUCCAAAGGAGAUGAGCAGUUUGAUUAGCAUGAGACAUCUUCACUGUGAUGAUUAUUAUACAAGACGCGAAAUCCAAAUGCCAUCCGGGAUUAGACGAUGGACUUGUCUUCAAACGCUGGAGUUCUUUAACACCGGUCGUCAAGAGGAAGGUCGUGGUAUCCAAGAGCUUGGAACCUUGGAAGAUCUUAAAGGCUCCUUGGAGAUCAGAAAUCUUGAAUUAGUAAAUGGCAAAGAUGAUGCUGAACUGGCGAACCUAUCUAAAAAGCCAAAUCUGCAUCGGUUGGUAUUUGAGUGGGGCAAUAGGAUCGAGAAAGUGAUAAUUGUGAUGAAGAUGUGUUGGAAGGCCUCCAACCUCACCCAAAUUUAAAAGAGUUACAAAUUUUGAAGUUCAUGGGUGAUCAGUUUCCACAAUGGUUCAUGAAUUUGACAUUGACAUCACUGGUGGAGUUGCGGGUGGAGGAUUGCACAAGAUGCAGAAAGCUCCCAGCACUAGGACAGCUGUCAUUCCUAAAAAAUCUCUCCCUUGAAAGCAUGAAAAAUUUGGAAGAGUGGAAGGACGCACACGAAAUGAUGUCAACCGCAGGUGAAGUAAAUGUCAUGGAUGUGUUUCCCGUGCUGGAAACGUUGUCUAUUAGUGAUUGCCCCCAGCUAACUCCAAGUUGUUUCCCAAGUCUUGAUGUAUUGGAAAUCAGAGGGAAUUGCCACGUUUUGCUGGCAGAAAAGGUUUUGAGCAAUAUAGCCAAUCUCUCGUCCCUUCAAUUAAGGGGUGGUCUUAGUCAACCCAUAGAGUCUCUAGAAUUAGUGAGACGACCAGAGAGCAGCUUGAGUAUUGAUGGCUGUAACAGUCUACUCACUGACACGCUUGAGCGACUCUGUCUUUUUCCAACUCUUCAGCGUGUAGAAUUGGUGUCUGCCAAUAAUAUAACAACAUUAAGAGGAAUGAGUUGCGCCGCUUGUCUUGAGAGAUUGGCAGUCUAUGCUUGUAAGAAUUUACGGGAGUUGCCAGAAGCUCUUUAUCAAUUUCAAGCUUUAGAGCACUUGGAGAUACGGGGUUGCUCGAGAAUUGAUUCAUUUGGAUAUCCAAAUCCUAAAAAUUCAUUUGGACAGAAAGGCCUCCUUAAGUCUCUUGAGCGAUUUACUGUCGUUGAGUGCGAUGCAUUGACAAGGUUACCAGCGGAGAUGUUCGAGUCGUGUACGUCUCUCCGAAAGCUGAAGUUGUCCGAUUGCCGCAGUCUGGUCUCCUUUCCCCUUGAUUUGCGACGAACCCCUUCUCUCGAGAGCUUCAAAUUAUUCGACUGUCCCAACUUGAUUGCUGAGAUGCCUAGUGGAUUUGGCUAUCUUACCAGCUUAAGGGAAGUGAAGAUUGGUCCCUUCUCAGAUGACUCAGUAAUCGAAUUUGAUUGGGCUGGAUUAGCAUCUUCAUCAUCACUCCAACACGUGUCUUUGAAUGGAAUGCCUGACACGAAAUCUCUGCCACAUCAGCUUCAAGACUUGACUACCAUCACAUCACUGUCUCUAAAUGACUUCAGAGCAAUCGAAGCCUUACCAGAUUGGCUUGGGAACCUUGCGUCUCUUGAAGUCCUACGCCUGUGGGGUUGCAAAAAGCUUGAAUAUUUACCCUCCGUAGAUGCCAUGGAACGCCUCAAAUUAAGACGUCUGGAAAUUAGUCUUUGUCCUCUAUUAGCCCAAAGAUGCACUCCUGAAAGCGGCUCCGAGUGGCCCAAGAUCUCUAAUAUUCCGGAGCGUGAUAUUAUUGUUCCGGAACAUGCAACGUUGAUAUCAAUUACAUUUUGAGCUUAAACAAUCCACAGGACUUGAAUCUUUCUAAAUUGUACAGAAGGGACAAUCCCUUCUAAAACCAUCAAAGCCUGCAUUACAAUUCAUCAAAAUAUUCCAUGGUCUGAUUUGUCAUUAAUCCUUGUUGACAACUGCUGCCGCAAAUUCUUGGUGUCAAGAUUCCCCAGUUGCAAUUGUUUGGUUCUCACGGCAUUGUUGUGGGCUCCACCUAGUGAUUGUCCUUUCUUCAACAAUGUAACAAUGUUACAUUCUCUCCACAUUUAUCAAUAUUAACAAGCAACAAUGUCUUUGCAACACUGCCACAAAGUCAAGUGUGCAAUGAUAAUCAGACCAAACCAUCAAACGCCCAUUUGUUUCACCAUUGUUAUCAGACAAAAACAAUCACAGCAUACUCUGAAUGCACCAAAGAUGGAUGAUGCUGGUAGGCGAUAAAGUCCACACCAUACUGUGAUCAUGAUCUAACCACCCAAUUCUUCAUCCACUACAACAAAAAUGGCUUUUCCUGACAUAUCUAUUCCGAUGUAGUUGGUGGAAAAAUGGGUAGCAGCCAAGCAGCAGUUUCCAUAAAGCUUCAACCGUGGCUCCCUCAGGCAGCUAACAGCAGCAUCAGCAACAAAAUCUCUCUCGAAGGAAACCCACUUUCAGCUUCCGAAGGUGUCUAGUACAUUACCGGUUUAAGCCUAGCUACCAAAAGCAGCAUUCUGUGGACAAUAUCUUGUUCUGUGGUGCAAGAACAAGCUGUGGUAGAUGGCUUUUUCUUCCUUUAACUGAUGCUAAUCUUUUUGUAGUCUUUUAACUGAUACUGUUCUUUACAAUAUAUCCCAUUUAGCUAAUGAGUUUAAGAUGAAAAUAUAAAUAAAGUUCAAAGUAUUAUUCUCAUUAGCUGGACAAAAAUGUAACAUCUAGUCCUCUUAUUCAGCUUAUUGGGUUGCAAGUGUUACGUUCAUGAGAAUUACAGACUCAUGACACUGCGUUGCCACUAUUCACCAGUCUAUAUGAUUUUGAGAAAAUCAAGGAUUAAACAAUAAACAAACCCCAUCAACAAAUCAACCAAUUAGAAGGGUGAUUUUGAUAUCUAGCUACUGGGAACUUUUGAAAAGUACUGUGAAAAAUCAGCUUGUGCCUGUCUGACCAAGUGUUCAUCUUCCCACUGGUCUCUGUAUGUCUCAGGCUGAGACCUCUUUCUCAUGGAAGUUUCAACAUACAUCUGCUUUCUCCAUUAUUCAGUCGGCAGACAACCACACUGAGCAGCCAACCAAUCGUCAUAUUCGAACUGGCGAUAUAAAACAACGCAUCAGUUGAGUUGGGCAGAAAUUAAAAACUCUAGACUAGGUCCAUGGAAAAGCAAGUGCAAAGAGGGUCACACUGGUGAAAGAUGACAAUGAAGAGCUGCAGCGAAAUCAAAUCAGCAGGAGGUGAGCAUUUUCUACUUGAUAACCAGCCAUGUUAUGAGUAUACCGCUUUGGAGUGCCAGAUGCUUCCAUUGAUGAGUAGAAAGCUUGAAUAUCAGCCAUCAUCUCCUUGGGAGAAGGAAGUGAAAGCCGACCACACAGAGUACUAGCUAUCCACUUGCUCUGAAAUUCAAACAAGGGGAAAGACCACACUUUUGGAUUACAUCAGGAAAAGCAAGGUGACAGCAUCUGAAGCAGGUGGAAUUACUCAAGGCAUGGGGGCAUACAAGGUACAAGUACCUUUUGAUGGCAAGCCACAGACUGGUGUUUUCCUUGACACCCCUGGACAUGAGGCAUUUGGAGCAAUGAGAGCUUGUGGAGCCAGAGUAACAAACAUUGCUGUUAUUGUAGUUGCUACUGAUGAUGGAAUUCGACCUCAAACAGAAGAGGCCAUUGCUCAUGCCAAAGCAGCUGGAGUGCGAAUUGUUAUUGCUAUAAACAAAGUGCGCUUGCAUUUAUUCUGAGAUUUUCCACUGUGUGUUGGCUUGUAUAUCAUUUAGUCUCAUUUGCAUUUUGCUUUUGAUGUAUGAAACAUGAUGACAAAUCUCCUCUUGCUUAUGGGAGUUGGCAUUUUCAGUUCUCAUAAUCACGAUACUGCUCAAGUUUGAUGUUUCUAGAUUUUUGCAUCAUAGCAUAUUAUCUUAUAUGCA